rnacentral:ncRNA from 1 species
UACAUGGAAAAAUGGACAGGUGCCCCCGGGAGGGGGAGAAUAGGGAAGUCCGGUAACCGCUUUUAGGGGCGGCGAUCCGGCGCGGUCCCGCCACUGUGAGCGCGGAGUUUGCGAUAUAUAACGCCACUGGGAUAGCUCCCGGGAAGGCAUCGCAAACAAGGAAGCGCGAGCCAGGAGACCUGCCUGUCCAUUGGACCUCUC